rnacentral:lncRNA from 1 species
CAUGCUUCGACACAUCACGGCUGUUUUGGCAGCAUGAGGAGACCUACACAACAUUAGACAGAUGGUUUUAAUUUUGUGGCUGAUCAGUGUAAGUUGGAUAAUAUUUUUAGGUUAAUGCAAUAUAUAUAUGGCUAUUCUUGUCUAAAUUGUACAUUGUAAAUGAAUUAAAAGUUUGCUUUUAAGAAAACAGAGACACAGUCUACAGUAAUGUCUGACUCUCAUAUAGUAUUAAUAGUAUAUAUAAUGUCCUUUAUUUGUGCAUUAAUACACUUUUGAAAAUGCUGUUUGUGUACAUUUCCUGGCCACUAAAAGGAGCAGGACAUUUAAUCUCAUUCCAAGUGAUGGCAGUGUGAUGUGACUAGCAUAGGCGUGCGCUGCCUAUUGCAUUAGGAUGUGCACCCUAAAGCACAAACACACAUCGCGUGUAAAUGUAUGUGUGUGUAUAUAUAUGUGUGUGUGUGUGUGCUGUAUGUGUGUGUGUGCUGUAUGUGUGUGCUGUAUGUGUGUGGGUGCUGCAUGUGUGUGCAUGCUGUAUGUGUGUUCUGUAUGUGUGUGGGUGCUGCAUGUGUGUGCUGUAUGUGUGUGUGUGCUGUAUGUGUGUGUGUGUGUGUAUGUGCUGUAUGUGUGUGCUGUGUGUGCAUGUGUGUGAGGCUGCUGUAUGUGUGUGUGUGUUGUGUGUGUGUGGGUGCUGUAUGUGUGUGUUGUGUGUGGGUGCUGUGUGUGUGUGGGUGCUGUAUGUGUGAAGGUGCUGUAUGUGUGUGCUGUGUGUGUGCUGUAUGUGUGUACUGUAUGUGUGUGUGGGUGCUGUAUGUGUGUGUGUGCUGUGUGUGUGCUGUAUGUGUGCGUGUGCUGUAUGUGUGCUGCAUGUGUAUGCUGUAUGUGUGUGGGUGCUGUGUGUCUGUGUGUGCUGUAUGUGUGUGUGCUGUAUGUGUGUGUGUGUGUGUGUGCUGUGUGUGCUGUAUGUGUGUAGGUGCUGUAUGUGUGUGUGUGCUGUGUGUGUGGGUGCUGUAUGUGUGUGUUGUGUGUGGGUGCUGUGUGCUGUGUGUGUGUGUGCUGUAUGUGUGAAGGUGCUGUAUGUGUGUGCUGUGUGUGCUGUAUGUGUGUGCUGUAUGUGUGUGAGGGUGCUGUAUGUGUGUGAGGGUGCUGUGUGUGUGCGCUGUGUGUGUGUGUGCUGUAUGUGUGAAGGUGCUGUAUGUAUGUGCGCUGUGUGUGUGUGGUGUAUGUGUGUGAGGGUGCUGUAUGCGUGUGUGUGCUGUGUGUGUGUGUGGGUGCUGUAUGUAUGUGUGUGCUGUAUGUGUGUGAGGGUGCUGUAUGUGUGUGUGUGCUGUAUGUGUGUGUGUGGUGUAUGUGUGUGAGGGUGCUGUGUGUGUAUGGGUGCUGUAUGUGUGUGUGUGCUGUAUGUGUGUGUGUUGUGUGUGUGGGGGUGCUGUUUGUGUGUGUGUGCUGUAUGUGUGUGCGGGUGCUGUAUGUGUGUGGGUGCUGUGUGUGUGUGGGUGCUGUAUGUGAAGGUGCUGUAUGUGUGUUUGUGUGUGUGCUGUAUGUGCUGUAUGUGUGUGAGGGUGCUGUGUGUGUGGGUGCUGUAUGUGUGUGCUGUGUGUGUGGUGUAUGUGUGUGAGGGUGCUGUAUGUGUGUGUGUGCUGUAUGUGUGUGGGUGCUGUAUGUGUGCGGUGUUGUAUGUGUGUGUGUGCUGUAUGUGUGUGCUGUAUGUGUGUGGGUGCUGUGUGUCUGUGUGUGCUGUAUGUAUGUGUGUGUGCUGUGUGUCUGUGUGUGCUGUAUGUGUGUAAGUGCUGUAUGUGUGUGUGUGCUGUGUGUGUGGGUGUGUGUGCUGUAUGUGUGUGGGUGAUUGUGGGGGGUGGAGGUGGGGGUACAUUACUUAAUAUCCCCCCUCCCUUCUUACCUUAUGUAGGGAGGGGGGAUUCUUGUUCCUGCUGCUUUCCCUGGUGGUCCAGUGGAGAGUGAACUCUAGCCUCAUGAGAACGCUCAGAACUCGCGAGAGGAACCCAGCGGAGCUGCUGGUUGAGCUGCCCGGGUCCUCUCCUGCAUCCCUCCCUGCUGCUGUGGGGAGGGAGGCUUAGAGCAGAGCCGGCGCUCGGAUAGCGCCGGCUCUGCAUGAGCCGACAGGGGAUAUCCUGAUCUGUAUGAUUAGGUUCUACCUCACUGCAGUCUCAGUGAUUUUCAGUUAAUUUGAAAGAUGUGAAUUGCAUUUGAUAUCUGGGUUUUGACAUUUCAGAUUAUGAUCACUUUGCAACAGAACACAAAAUUUGGGAAAGAACAGUCCAAAUACGGCAUUCGUCCUGAUGGAGUUAAACAUGAAUUCAUUAUUAGAAAGUUCCACGUUGUCCUGUAAACAAGAUGUAGCUUUUUUUAAUUAAACGCUUACAUAAGAUAGAGGCCAAUUAUUUGGGAGUGACUCUGCAUGUUCAUUUUUUAAGUACUAAGUUGCACGAAGGUCUAGGAUGUGGAGAUUAAUAUUGCAUCUACAGAACUGGAAGCGACAGCAACAUAUAGUACCUGUAAUUGCGUUUAUUAGUGAAAUGGAUUUCAAAUUAACUGCUAUAUUGUUAUGUCCUAUUUCUUUUAUAUUGCAGUAGUAGAUUUCAUAGUAUGUAGAUAUUCAUUUGGCUUCAGGCCCACUUACAGUUACAGGUUCAAUAAUCCUGGCAUCUCUUGUUCUGUUUAGCUAAUGUCUAGGCUGGAACUGGAAUGGACGAUAAACGUGGAUGGUAGCAUUUAGGUAUAGAUAUAUAUUAUUCUUAUUCUUCUUUUGGUUUGUAGGUGCUUAUGAAAGUAGAAAUUGGGUGCUAGAACACUGUUUAUUAAAGAGGAGACUUCAUAACAACCUAUGUGCAAUAUAUAGUGUCUACCUUUCACUGAUUACAGUCAAUUUUAAUUGAUUUCUAAAAAAAGAUCAGUAACGCCAAAGGAAGCAUUUAAUUCUCCCAUUUACAUUAAAGAUCUGUUUCUUCUCUCCUUUCUCCAGCUCAAGAAAGAGCUCAUGCGGUGGCACAAAAUACAUGGUCUGACUAAAGAUACCUUCUCCUGGAUCCUCUUAUAGUCUUCUCUUGGAGACAGCCAUGGAACAAUCUUAUUGCCACUCACCUACCAAGGAACGACUGUAUGGCAUGAGACUAGCCUCUUUUCCAGAGAGCACGGGCCAUUUUUGGCAUUCGCUUUAGCUGACUUAUGUGGUCCUGAAUCAACACCCUGUAUUUACCCAUAAAGAGGAGUUUAAAGUUGUUGGAACAUUCUGCUUUGUCUGGACAAAUGUAUUCUGUCAAAUGUAUUCUGUAUUCCCCCUACCAUUUUAUUGUGCUUUCAGCAUGAUGUGCCACUACUGUUC